UGAAGAUGUCUUUGAAAAUAUUAGUGG
rnacentral:piRNA from 1 species